rnacentral:misc_RNA from 1 species
UGGAUACUGCUGAAAGGAGGUCGUCCGACUGAUUCAUCCAAAUGUUGAGAAUCAUCUCUCCAUCGCAAACUCGCGUCAAGCCUCUCGCCCAUUACAUAACCACUGUAUGUUCCGCCUCAACAAGCUAUCUACUGCCAUCUAAUUCUCCUUCGAGGCUGUUGGCUCCUUGGAUUUGGACUCUCUCUUCGCCAUUCUCGCACUCAUCCAAACAGAACAAGGAAGAUAGCUACGACGUUGUUUCCGUUUUCAACAGAGACCCAACAGCUCCG